GACGGCAGCACAGUAAGAGCUUGCUCUUAUGGGUGGCGAGUGGCGGACGGGUGAGGAAUACAUCGGAAUCUACUCUUUCGUGGGGGAUAACGUAGGGAAACUUACGCUAAUACCGCAUACGACCUACGGGUGAAAGCGGAGGACCUUCGGGCUUCGCGCGAUUGAAUGAGCCGAUGUCGGAUUAGCUAGUUGGCGGGGUAAAGGCCCACCAAGGCGACGAUCCGUAGCUGGUCUGAGAGGAUGAUCAGCCACACUGGAACUGAGACACGGUCCAGACUCCUACGGGAGGCAGCAGUGGGGAAUAUUGGACAAUGGGCGCAAGCCUGAUCCAGCCAUGCCGCGUGGGUGAAGAAGGCCUUCGGGUUGUAAAGCCCUUUUGUUGGGAAAGAAAAGCAGUCGGUUAAUACCCGAUUGUUCUGACGGUACCCAAAGAAUAAGCACCGGCUAACUUCGUGCCAGCAGCCGCGGUAAUACGAAGGGUGCAAGCGUUACUCGGAAUUACUGGGCGUAAAGCGUGCGUAGGUGGUGGUUUAAGUCUGUUGUGAAAGCCCUGGGCUCAACCUGGGAAUUGCAGUGGAUACUGGGUCACUAGAGUGUGGUAGAGGGUAGCGGAAUUCCCGGUGUAGCAGUGAAAUGCGUAGAGAUCGGGAGGAACAUCCGUGGCGAAGGCGGCUACCUGGACCAACACUGACACUGAGGCACGAAAGCGUGGGGAGCAAACAGGAUUAGAUACCCUGGUAGUCCACGCCCUAAACGAUGCGAACUGGAUGUUGGGUGCAAUUUGGCACGCAGUAUCGAAGCUAACGCGUUAAGUUCGCCGCCUGGGGGAGUACGGUCGCAAGACUGAAACUCAAGGAUUUGACGGGGGCCCGCACAAGCGGUGGAGUAUGUGGUUUAAUUCGAUGCAACGCGAAGAACCUUACCUGG
rnacentral:rRNA from 1 species